GGCAAGAUGGCCGAGUUGGUUAUGGCGCCAGGUUAAGGUCACCUUAACAUCUUAACAUCCUGGUGGAGCAAUCCGCGUGGGUUCAAGUCCCACUCUUGUCA
rnacentral:tRNA from 3 species